CUUACAGGUUUAUUCUGGACAUUAUCUGGCUAGUGUUGCAGACGCUUUUUGAUCUUUCUUGAUUAAUUACUUUAUUUUAGGUCAAGUAUCGACUGACUUCAACUUUCAGACUCAUAAAGUGUGGGUUCACACACAAUGGUGGUCGAAGUUUCAGGUGAGCUACGGGGUGGCCAACCACCACACGUGCCACCCUUAUUGGAGUUUUCAUGUCUUGGAGGCCAAACUGAUAGCCUGAUCCAGUCCUUAAUGGAGACGGUAAAGGAGGCGGCUGCCUCCCAGUCGGUGGAGGAUGAGGGCUGGAUGUCGUACGUGUUCAGCAUGAUUCGGCAGGCUAUAUCAGAGCAGGAUGCACGCGCCAAAUGCUUGGCCACCCUGCUCCAGCUGAAAGAGUCCGACCUCGUUCAGAGUACUCAGGCCCAACUCAACCUGCUGUCCUGUCAACCAAG
ensembl:lncRNA